UUAAUUGUCCGUAUUACUAAGAAAAAAUAAUAAUAUUAUUUAAUUGUAUUAGGUGGAAAUGGACAAUGUGGAAAUUAUAAUGAUCGAAUCUCGUGAUUUGUGUUGUAAAAACUGUAAAUACUGUGAUGGAAUAUUUAGAAAGAUUCUGGUAAAAAAAGAAAAUUCAUGAACCUAAGCACAUGUGAACUUAUUAUGAGCACAAUUGCUCAAUUUUUUUCUGUAGAAGAUAAAGUCGAGAUAAAAAUCCGAGCUAUCGUGUGGAUUUGUUCAAUUGCCAUUAAUAAAUUUGUAAUAAUUUGUAAUGAAAUGACAACAUUCCUUUCAUUAAAAUCCACUGCGUUGUGUUUUCUUGUGAAAAUGGUGAAGGAAGUUUUGACUCUAGUCUUCUUAAAUGUGAUUGGCAUGAUGAAAUUAAAUAGAAGUUUGAAAAUGAUAUGGUAAGCGAUAUGUAAUUGAAGAAAUAAAUCAUGGAAAAAAAUUGAAGAUAAAUUUAUGAGCGAAAAUAAAUAUAAAUCUGAUGAUAUCUUCGUUAACAGUAUUCCUACGUAUUUAGAAGCAUUGAAAAAAAAAAAAAAAGAAAAGGAAAUGCAAUGGUACUAGCAAUUUGAAAAAUAAUUUGAUAGGGGAAAGAAUAAAAGAAUCAGUUCGAGUUACUAUCAUCUUUAUAACAGCUUAUAUCAAUUGAGUUAUUUGACUCAUGAAAUGAAUGAUAUUCACGUUGAUCUGACUGAAGGUUACAUAUGAUAUUGGCAUUGUAGUCGUAUGCAUGAUAUCCACGACGACCACAGGAAGAAACUCAAGGAAGUCAUUCUAGAACCACUGAGGCCGAUUUUCAAAAGAUUGCAUUCGACGUAUAGAACCUGUCAUUAAUUGAUAUCCAAAAAUAUCAAUCGUGGACCUUUGAAAUAUUCCACUGGCCAUCGGAAUUAGAGCAUCAAUCAUCCGAUGAAAUCGUGCAAUUGUUGCGUGAUGAUUGAUGGACAGUGACUCGAAUUAGAUUUGGAGAAUAAUUAAUAAAAAAGGGUAUAUUCUUGUACCAAAUGCACGAUGUACGCAUCCCACGAUGAUCUCGCGAUGAUUCAGCAUCGAUCCCACGACGUUCGCACGGUGAUCUAGCGACGAUUCCACGAUGAUCUAGCGAUGAUCUCACGAUGUCUCCGAUAGAAUUGUAGCUGAAGUCCAAUCUAGACCAGAAUAUCUAAAGGAAAAUUGGCACAAUUUUCUGGAUUUGGAGAUACUGCCUAGUUCUUAGUAUGAUAUUGAUUUUUAAAAAUUUAUUUUUGGAAAAUUUUCGAAGGAAACAUUAAAAUUAAUAAUUAAUAUGAAUG